GGAAAACAGUUGGCAUGUGGGAAUCUGAUGUUAGCGUGCUUUGACUGCAGUAAGAUGUGUGGGCUGGAGGGGGCAGUGGGUGGGGAAUGCAGUUAGGAGGCAACCAUGAUGAGGUGGAGAACAAACAGGAACAGGGGUGACAGGCUGGGGAGUCUGGACAGACCCAGGAGAUUAGCCCAGUAGGAUAGCAACAAGGACACCCUACAUGACCAAGUAACCAAAUGUGUAUUGCUUUUUUUUUUUUUUCUGAGAUGACUUUUGCUUUUGUCACCCAGGCUGGAGUGCAAUGGUAUGAUCUCGGCUCACUGCAACCUCCUCUUCUUGGGUUCAAGCAAUUUUCCUGCCUCAGCCUCCUGAGUAGCUGGGAUUACAGG
rnacentral:lncRNA from 1 species